GGCAGCAUCAUGCUUUGGGGGUGCUUUGCUGCAGGAGGGACUGGUGCACUUCACAAAAUAGUGUUCAGGCCUCAGGCCUUUACCAACACUGAGGAAAUGCAUGCUUCUUUCCUCUGAUCUGAAUGUGACGUUAAUACUCUUCUCUCCUCCCAGAUAUUGACAUGGGAAUCUCCAACCUGUCUGUACAGGACUUUGAAGCACAAGCUAUAGCAACUAUGAACAGGUUGCAUUUCAGUGUUAAUAAUCAUUUAGUUGAGACAGACAGUGCCUGUGAUCCCUACAGUCAGUUAGUUCUGUCAGGUAACUGUAUGAGAUCUGAUGCUGUCAGGUAACUGUAUGAGAUCUGAUGCUGUCAGGUAACUGUAGGAGAUCUGAUGCUGUCAGGUAACUGUAGGAGUUCUGAUGCUGUCAGGUAACUGUAGGAGAUCUGAUGCUGUCAGGUAACUGUAGGAGAUCUGAUGCUGUCAGGUAACUGUAGGAGAUCUGAUCCUGUCAGGUAACUGUAGGAGAUCUGAUGCUGUCAGGUAACUGUAGGAGAUCUGAUCCUGUCAGGUAACUGUAGGAGAUCUGAUCCUGUCAGGUAACUGUAGGAGAUCUGAUCCUGUCAGGUAACUGUAGGAGAUCUGAUGCUGUCAGGUAACUGUAGGAGAUCUGAUGCUGUCAGGUAACUGUAGGAGAUCUGAUGCUGUCAGGUAAGUGUAGGAGAUCUGAUGCUGUCAGGUAACCGUAGGAGAUCUGAUGCUGUCAGGUAACUGUAGGAGAUCUGAUGCUGUCAGGUAACUGUAGGAGAUCUGAUGCUGUCAGGUAACUGUAGGAGAUCUGAUGCUGUCAGGUAACCGUAGGAGAUCUGAUGCUGUCAGGUAACUGUAGGAGAUCUGAUGCUGUCAGGUACUGUACCAGCUGUAGCUCCUCUGACUCACAACAGACCUUCAAUAUUAAUGCUUUUCAAACAGUUGAGUGUCUGUGCUGCUCAACGCAGCUCUAAUUUGUUUUGAACAGCGUCUGCAAAUCGGAUGCAUCCACUCGUCCCUCUCUCGUCGUCUUGCUCACUCUGUUUGUAUGCCUUGGAGAAUUUAGGAGACGAGAGUUGACAAAUCCUUCCCGUACAAUAUUAACGUGAAGCGAGUGGAACUGCUCAUAGGGAGAAGUGACAAGUCUAUCCCUGGAUGAUUUGUUGUUUGUCCAGUGCAGUCAGUGCAGUGCUCCAACUUCAAGGAGCAACUGUCUGUGUUAAUUAGCAGUUGAAGUUAAGCCAGUGCCCUGUGUGACAGUGUGUCUCUCCCCCUCCCCAUGUCCCACCAGUGAGUCCAGGCCCAGUAUAGAGCACAAUCUGAGGCUGACGUCAGCCUACUUCCACUACCUGACAGAGGACGGCAGGCUUGAGAUCACCACCUGUCACUCCAGAAAAGCCUUCACUGUGGACUACAUCUUCUACUCCGCAGGAACUGGGGACAUUUCCACACAGCCAGAGGGUUCAUUGCCCAGGUGAGGGCUGCUGGCCAGACUGUCCCUGGUGGGACAGACAGACCUGGAGGCCGUCAACGGGCUACCCAAUGAGCACAACUCCUUGGACCAUCUGCCCAUACUGGCCCUCCUCCGCCUCUGCCCCUGAGACUGGUGGUCAAGGGUUAGGGGUCAGAGCCUCAAACAAACGUGGAGGUCAAAGAACUGGAGAGACCAGGGAAUUCACCCAUACCUCUCACCAGCGACCAAUAGCUUCUGUCUCUGAGUCUCAUAUUAUCAUAUCACCACGGAGAUAGACUUUCAUUUUAAUGACAUUUAUUGAUGAUCUUGCAGCUUGGCAGUAGCCUAUCUCUAGUGGAUAGAUGUAGGCUACUGCAUCGAGAUGUUUACACUUUUUUACUUUUGAUGUUAUUUUACAUUGGUUGAAGAUAUUAUGAAAAUAUACAUUUUUAUAUUUGAAUGGUUUAAAUGUUGACAUGAAUUCAUUUCAAAACAUGCAGCUGAUAAGGAAUAACACUGAGAUAUAUACUUUUUCUAUUCAUUAUGUCAUGCACAUGAGCACAAACUAUUUGAUAAUAUUGGGAUUGAAAAUGAAGGCUAUGUUACAGCUAUUGUACCUAAUUUAACGCAAUAGAAUACCCGCAAUUAAAGACACCCUGUACAUGCAUAUAGUUCAGCUCUGUAAUAAUGUCACAUUACAUUGAAUGAGAUCCAGGGAUUGUUUGAACGGUACCGCUCAGCGAUAACCAAAGGCUACGCAGGUGGACAGAGAAGCUGACACAAGCUGAUCAGAGAAAAGAGAGGGAGUGUUUUCUCACCUGGAGAGGAAUGAAAGUGAACCCAGGGUACAUAACCUUGAGUGACGAACCUGCUAGUGCGUUAGGUGAAAAGCUCAUUAAUAAAAACAGAACAGUCAUCUCUACCAUUAGAUGAAGAAUCACUGGAGUCAGCCUCCUGAUAGGCAAUUUCUCUCAACAUGUUGGAGUGUUUUUAAUAUUCUACACACUGCAGAAUCCUCAAGUUUGUUUCCAAUAUUGCACAUCAAUCUUUUUUUUAGACCGAAACUAAGUGUCAGAAUUUGAGGACAUGGAAUUUGACAUUUCUGGUAGUUAAAGAAGCAACUCUCCAAAGUCUAUUGUAUUUGGUUGCCUUAUAUAACGGCCACAUUAGUGCUAUCAACCUCGCUGCUCAAGCACACAAACCUCUGCUUUACAGAAAAUGUAUUUUGAUGUAGUACAUAUCAGGUGGUUAACCUUGUUUUACUAUUUGGCCUUAAUUCUGUUUUGACAUUGCUCACAUUCUAGACAAAAUUUGAUAAAGUCUGAGGCCAAAUUGAUUUAGUUAUUCCUUGCCGGGGACAUGCCGUGGUUUGUAAA